rnacentral:misc_RNA from 1 species
GUAUGUCUUAGGAAGCUCACAGAGCAACUUUUUGUUUGAAUCCAUGCAUGUGUUUUGUUAUGAUCUAUGGACAUAUAUAUUACACUUCCCUUAGUUAAAUUGAAAGUUUCUUGUUUCAUAAUCUCUCUGUUUGAAAUUUCCCAGGGUUUGACCAUAAACCAUCUUAUUUUUGUUUUAGUGCCGUGCACAAUCAAAUUGUACAACAAAAAAGUCUUUUGUACUCUAUAUAUAUAUAUAUCUUUUAGAAAACUCAUUUAGCAAUGUUUGUGUCCUGUUUAUGGAAAACAUGAUAUUGUACUAAAAGCCGUAAAAGGUACGGCCACCUGUAGUGCGAAAGACUCUAUCUUUG